rnacentral:sRNA from 1 species
GCUCAGUAUAUUUCUCAUAAUCGCGCUAUCCGUUGUUAUGUUAAACUGCAAUGAUCACGACCUUCCCUAUUCCUGUGGUAUAUUUGGUGCAUUUUGUACGGCAACACGUGGUGUCCCCAUAUAUGCUAGAGAUCCGGAAACUGGACGGUGUGAUAAAUAUGAUAGCCUUUGCGUAUUUGCAGCCCGAUAUUGUGAUCGAUUUUAUGAGGGUAGACCGGUUCUGGAAGAAGUAAGUCGCUGUUAAAAAGGAUAGAUUUUUCUUAUUAGAACACUGGAAUGGAGAAGAGCUUUAGUCUGUGGGCCGAUCGUGAAUUGAUUUAUUGAAAAAAUAAUACGACAUACACCGCCUUAUUGAAUGAAAAACAUUUGUGUACUGGCAUUUAUUGAUAUCAGAAUAGUUCCAAAUUUUAGUCAUUGACUGGAAACCGACUCAUUUAUAUAUGAAAGAAAGUGAUGUUAGUUAGUGCGACUUUAACUCAAGAACUGAUUUUGGAUAAUUCGCAACAAUUUGGCAUUGUCUCUUGGAAAAAAAGAUUAAACCUAAAAAAUCAUAUAAAAUUAUCCCAAUUAAAAUGUAUAUGAAUUUAUUACUGCUAUAUAUAUUUUUUGUAUUUUUUUUGUCAGGUUUGAUAUUGCAUGAAAUUUUCUAAAUUUGACUUAUUAUAUUUUAAUUUGGAUCUAGCAUUCCAGCAGCUACAUUGAUAGUAUGAAAAAGUGGAUAUUUGAUAAGAAAAUAAUAUAUGUUAUCCAAAA